GGGCCCGUGGCACAACUGGCUAGCGCGCCACAUUUGCAAUGUGGAGGUUGAGGGUUCGAGUCCCUCCGGGUCCA
rnacentral:tRNA from 1 species